UACGUAGGGUGCGAGCGUUGUCCGGAAUUACUGGGCGUAAAGAGCUCGUAGGUGGUUUGUCACGUCGUCUGUGAAAUUCCGGGGCUUAACCUCUGGCGUGCAGGCGAUACGGGCAAUACUUGAGUGCUGUAGGGGAGACUGGAAUUCCUGGUGUAGCGGUUAAAUGCGCAGAUAUCGGGAGGAACACCAGUGGCGAAGGCGGCUUUCUGGACAGUAACUGACGCUGAGGCGCGAAAGCGUGGGGAGCAAACAGGAUUAGAUACCCCGGUAGU
rnacentral:rRNA from 1 species